rnacentral:rRNA from 1 species
CAUCUCGACACAGGUGGGUAGGUAGAGUAUACUAAGGGGCGCGAGAUAACUCUCUCUAAGGAACUCGGCAAAAUGACUCCGUAACUUCGGGAGAAGGAGUGCCUUAUUUUUAUAAGGUUGCAAUAACAAGAUCCAAGCAACUGUUUACCAAAAACACAGGUCUCCGCUAAGUCGUAAGACGAUGUAUGGGGGCUGACGCCUGCCCAGUGCCAGAAGGUUAAAGAAGUUGGUUAGCAUUAGCGAAGCUGAUAACUGAAGCCCUGGUGAACGGCGGCCGUAACUAUAACGGUCCUAAGGUAGCGAAAUUCCUUGUCGGGUAAGUUCCGACCCGCACGAAAGGCGUAAUGAUUUGGAUACUGUCUCGGAGAGGGGCUCGGUGAGAUAGACUUGUCUGUGAAGAUGCGGACUACCUGCACCAGGACAGAAAGACCCUAUGAAGCUUUACUGUAACUUGAGAUUGAAAUUGGACUUUAUCUGCGCAGUAUAGGUGGGAGACGUUGAGAAUAUUCUUGCGGGAAUAUUGGAGUCAUCAGUGAGAUACCACUCUUAUAAUGUUAGAUUUCUAACUUUGUAUCAUUAUCUGGUCAAAGAACAGUUUCAGGCGGGCAGUUUGACUGGGGCGGUCGCCUCCCAAACGGUAACGGAGGCGCACAAAGGUUUCCUCUGAACGUGUAGAAAUCGUAUCUAGAGUGUAAAGGCAUAAGGAAGCUUGACUGUGAGACCUACAAGUCGAGCAGGGACGAAAGUCGGUCUUAGUGAUCUGACGGUGCUGAGUGGAAGGGCCGUCACUCAACGGAUAAAAGUUACUCUAGGAUAACAGGCUGAUCUCCCCCAAGAGUUCACAUCGACGGGGAGGUUUGGCACCUCGAUGUCGGCUCAUCGCAUCCUGGGGCGGUAGUACGUCCCAAGGGUUGGGCUGUUCGCCCAUGAAAGCGGUACGCGAGCUGGGUUCAGAACGUCGUGAGACAGUUCGGUCCAUAUCCGGUGUAGGCGUUAGAAUAUUGAGAGGAGCCUUCUUUAGUACGAGAGGACCGAGAAGGACAUACCUCUGGUGUACCAGUUAUCGUGCCAACGGUAAACGCUGGGUAGCCAUGUAUGGAGAGGAUAACCGCUGAAAGCAUCUAAGUGGGAAGCCCACCUCAAGAUAAGUAUUCUCAUCACGUAAGUGAGCAAGGUCACGGUAAGACUAACCGUUUGAUAGGCAUUAAGUGUAAAUGUAGUAAUAUAUGAGCUGAGAUGUCCUAACAGACCGAGGAC